ACCAACCUUCCCGCAUCCCUUCCAGCCUCAGGGCUGCCCCGGCAGAACGGUGAGCAAGACCUGGGGAACCUGGAGAGAUUAGAGCGGCGAGUCCGCUGGUCCCUUAGGACACCGGCGCAUUGGGAGAUUCUGGAGUCAGAGGACAGCGGAAUGGCCUUUGCCCGCCCUGCCCCACCGCUGCUUCAGAAGCCCCCGGAAACACCCCGGGUCCGCGACCCGGGUGGAGUCACCUGGGGGUCGAAGGGAAGCUCAACGCCCGGCGGGCUCCUGGGAUGGCUCUUCCCCUUCUUUGAGCCGCCUUCACCCAGAGGGGAAGCCUGUGCCCACCCUGCUCCGUCGCUUUCGAGGCCGCUGCGGAGUUUCCGCUGCUGUCUUCUGAUCCUGUGUGCCGCACGGGGGCUCCACCAGGGCAGGGAUGUGGUGAGGGUCCUUCGUGGGUCCCCUCGCGGGGAGCAGGGUCCGGCACUCAGCAGGGCGCACAACUUGGACUAGUCGACUGAACGCAUCGUCACCUUUGGCUUUUAGUCCUUUGAAGAGCCUUGAGAAUGGAAGUCAUGAGAUUUUUCCAUGGAAAUUCCGUUUACGUGCGUCACAUAGCGUUUAUUCGGGUUGAUUUCUCUGCACUCUGCGGGCAGAAUGGAGAGGAAUUGAGGGGAAAACGGAGACAGAACCUGAAAGAGCCCAAAUGAGAGAACAUGUAGCUCCCAAGAAUAAGAUCUUUCAGAAGAACUAGCGUGAAAACCAAGCAUCUGGGAACCCUGAAAUCCAUGCAGGAGUACAUCUCGUGACCCUCUGCGUUCCUUUAGGCAAAAGGACUUCCUUCCACUGUUUGUUCAAUUGCUUGUGUUUGUUUAAUAAAUAAAGCGCUUUCCAUUAUCUUCGAAA